rnacentral:rRNA from 1 species
AAGGGGCCCGCGCCGGCACCCUAAACAGGCGGGCGAGGGCAGCAUACAAAGGCCAGCGAGUGCACUGUGUGUAAGGAGAUCGGCAACAUGACCCCGCGACGUAGGGGUAUGGCUCCGCACCGUCAGGCGGCCGCAGAGAAUAGGGCCAAGCGACUGUUUACCAAAAACAUAGGUGUCUGCUAAGUCGCAAGACGAUGUAUAGGAGCUGACGACUGCCCGGUGCUGGAAGGUUAAGGGGAUCUGUUAGAGCAAUCGAAGCAGGGAACUUAAGCCCCAGUAAACGGCGGACGUAACUAUAACGGUCCUAAGGUAGCGAAAUACCUUGUCGGGUAAGUUCCCACCCGCACGAAAGGCGGAACGAUUUGGGCACGGUCUCAACAACGAACGCGGUAAAAUUGUAAUUCCGGUGACGAUGCCGGAUACCUGCGACAGGCCGG